rnacentral:rRNA from 1 species
UACAGAGGGUGCAAGCGUUAAUCGGAAUUACUGGGCGUAAAGCGUGCGCAGGCGGUUUUGUAAGUCUGACGUGAAAGCCCCGGGCUCAACCUGGGAAUUGCGAUGGAGACUGCAAGGCUUGAAUCUGGCAGAGGGGGGUAGAAUUCCACGUGUAGCAGUGAAAUGCGUAGAGAUGUGGAGGAACACCGAUGGCGAAGGCAGCCCCCUGGGUCAAGAUUGACGCUCAUGCACGAAAGCGUGGGGAGCAAACAGG